AUUGAACGCUGGCGGCAGGCUUAACACAUGCAAGUCGAGCGGAGAUGAGGUGCUUGCACCUUAUCUUAGCGGCGGACGGGUGAGUAAUGCUUAGGAAUCUGCCUAUUAGUGGGGGACACCAUUCCGAAAGGAAUGCUAAUACCGCAUACGUCCUACGGGAGAAAGCAGGGGAUCUUCGGACCUUGCGCUAAUAGAUGAGCCUAAGUCGGAUUAGCUAGUUGGUGGGGUAAAGGCCUACCAAGGCGACGAUCUGUAGCGGGUCUGAGAGGAUGAUCCGCCACACUGGGACUGAGACACGGCCCAGACUCCUACGGGAGGCAGCAGUGGGGAAGAUUGGACAAUGGGGGAACCCUGAUCCAGCCAUGCCGCGUGUGGGAAGAAGGCCUUAUGGUUGUAAAGCACUUUAAGCGAGGAGGAGGCUACUGAGACUAAUACUCUUGGAUAGUGGACGUUACUCGCAGAAUAAGCACCGGCUAACUCUGUGCCAGCCGCCGCCGUAACAC
rnacentral:rRNA from 1 species